UGUGUAGGCGGUUCUCUAAGUUUGGUGUGAAAUCUCCCGGCCUAACCGGGAGGGUGCGCCGAAAACUGGAGGGCUAGAGUGCGGGAAGGGAGAGUGGAAUUCCUGGUGUAGCGGUGAAAUGCGUAGAUAUCAGGAGGAACACCGGUGGUGUAGACGGCUCUCUGGACCGUAACUGACGCUGAGACACGAAAGCGUGGGUAGGCAAAACA
rnacentral:rRNA from 1 species